GUUCCGUUAGCUCAGUUGGAUAGAGCAACCGCCUUCUAAGCGGUAGGUCACUGGUUCGAAUCCAGUACGGAGCACCA
rnacentral:tRNA from 23 species